UUGAUCCUGCCGGACCCGACUGCUAUCAGAGUGGGACUAAGCCAUGCGAGUCAACGCAGCAAUGCGUGGCAUACGGCUCAGUAACACGUAGUCAACAUGCCCAGGGGACGUGGAUAACCUCGGGAAACUGAGGAUAAACCGCGAUAGGCCAAGGUUUCUGGAAUGGACACUGGCUGAAACCUAUAUGGCCCCUGGAUUGGACUGCGGCCGAUCAGGCUGUUGGUGAGGUAAUGGCCCACCAAACCUGUAACCGGUACGGGCUUUGAGAGAAGGAGCCCGGAGAUGGGCACUGAGACAAGGGCCCAGGCCCUAUGGGGCGCAGCAGGCGCGAAAAUUCUGCAAUAGGCGAAAGCUUGACAGAGUUACUCUGAGUGAUGCCCGCUAAGGGCAUCUUUUGGCACCUCUAAAAAUGGUGCAGAAUAAGGGGUGGGCAAGUCUGGUGUCAGCCGCCGCGGUAAUACCAGCACCCCGAGUGGUCGGGACGAUUAUUGGGCCUAAAGCAUCCGUAGCUUGUUCUGCAAGUCUUCCGUUAAAUCCACCUGCUCAACAGAUGGGCUGCGGGAGAUACUACAGGGCUAGGAGGCGGGAGAGGCAAGCGGUACUCAGUGGGUAGGGGUAAAAUCCUCUGAUCCACUGAAGACCACCAGUGGCGAAGGCGGCUUGCCAGAACGCGCUCGACGGUGAGGGAUGAAAGCUGGGGGGAGCAAACCGGAUUAGAUACC
rnacentral:rRNA from 1 species